CCAAACAAAACGAGGAAAAUGAAAAGAAGAAAAGAAAAAGGAGAGAGAGAGAGAGAGAGGGAGGGAGAGAUCGUAGCAAGAAAAAGAAAGGAAGAUGAAAAAAAUGUAAAAAUAGAAGAUCUGAUCUUCAAUCGAUCUCAACAUCGCCAGGUACCUACACAAUACAAGCUCACUGGGCCAAUUCCACCUGAAUUGGGGAACAUGUCCAAGCUAAGCUAUCUGUGAGGGCAAUUGAACAACAAUGAAUUGGUUGGUAGCAUUCCGGUGGAGCUUGGACAACUGGAGUAGUUUGAAUUGUGCAUGGCAAAGAUCUAAUGGUA